rnacentral:lncRNA from 1 species
CACAUGGGACUUUUCUUUUAUUUCAGGAUAUACGCCAUUUCUCACAGAGAGAUGCUCUGUCUCUGCAGUUUGAACCAGUACUACUACCUACUUCUACAACAAACUUUACAAAAAUUGCUUCUUUUACCUGCAAAGCAGCUACAUCAUGUGACAGUGGAAUUAUAGAAGAUGUGAAGAAAACAACACACACUCCAACACUAAAAGCAUGCCUCUUCUCUUCUGUGGCUCAGGGGUAUUUUAGAAUGGACUCUUCUGCAACCCAGUUUCACAUAGAGACUCAUGAGAACACAUCAGGACUUUGGUCAAUAUGGUACCGCAACCAUUUUGACCGUAGUGUUGUAUUAAAUGAUGUGUUUCUUUCCAAGGAGACCAAGCACAUGUUAAAGAUUCUGAAUUUCACUGGCCCUUUAUUUCUACCUCCAGGCUGUUGGAAUAUAUUUUCUUUGAAACUUGCUGUUAAAGACAUUGCCAUAAAUCUAUUCACCAAUGUAUUUUUGACUACAAACAUAGGUGCCAUUUUUGCAAUACCUCUACAGAUUUAUUCAGCACCAACCAAGGUAUUUUCUA